UGGAGUUAUGUGAAGAUGGAGAAGCAAGCAUUGGAGCAGCUGAAGGCAGUAGCACUUGGAAGCAGAAAGAAGAAACAUUGUCAGAAUGGGUUCUUCUGACAACAGACUAGUAUUGGACCCUUGGUAGAGUGAGUGAAUAUCUCUGAAGAGAUACCUGGAACUGAGGAAAAGAUUGAGCAGAAACCCAAGAGCCAGCCUGUCAUGAAUACAGUAGGAUUCAAAAUACUAUAGCAGGAGUCUUUGUCAAAGUGGAUGAAGCUAGCUUUUUAGCACUGGCAUACAUGAUGGGAACGAAACAAACAGAGCAACACAAAUAUUCCAUUGUUUGCCUCUGUCAACCGAGCGGCUGAAGACAAAGGCAUCAGAAUGCUGGAGAAGCAGUUUUGUGGAAAUGCCGGUGAGCGGGGCCGAACACCAUUCAUUUCUCAAGUGCUGAAAGGGAGGUAACUUGCGAAGCACAAAAAGGAUAGGAAGGUGAUGCGACAUGGAGCAACGAUAAAAACGAAGAUCAUUCUCAUAACAUUUACGAAAAUGAAAACCUACUUGGAGCCCCUCAUCACCAUACGUACACCCUCAAUUAAAACAAUGCCCCUGAUAGCAGGCAGUAUAAUCUGCAUUUUAUUUCACUCAUGAGCAAAAUAACAAGUUACUCAGGCCUGAGGCAUUCAUGAGUGAUAUGGGGCGUGUAAUAUCCUUUCCAUUGAGUUUCCUAUUAUUAAGCUUGAAAUAAGGAGUUCAGAAUUAACUGUGACAAUGAUUUUAUCUAGUGUUGGCAUCACC